CCUACGGGAGGCAGCAGUGAGGAAUAUUGGUCAAUGGACGAGAGUCUGAACCAGCCAAGUAGCGUGAAGGAUGACUGCCCUAUGGGUUGUAAACUUCUUUUAUAUGGGAAUAAAACGUUCCACGUGUGGGAUUUUGUAUGUACCAUAUGAAUAAGGAUCGGCUAACUCCGUGCCAGCAGCCGCUGUAAUACGGAGGAUCCGAGCGUUAUCCGGAUUUAUUGGGUUUAAAGGGAGCGUAGGUGGAUUGUUAAGUCAGUUGUGAAAGUUUGCGGCUCAACCGUAAAAUUGCAGUUGAAACUGGCAGUCUUGAGUACAGUAGAGGUGGGCGGAAUUCGUGGUGUAGCGGUGAAAUGCUUAGAUAUCACGAAGAACUCCGAUUGCGAAGGCAGUUCACUGGACUGCAACUGACACUGAGGCUCGAAAGUGUGGGUAUCAAACAGGAUUAGAUACCCCUGUAGUC
rnacentral:rRNA from 1 species